GCGCUUAACACAUGCAAGUCGAGCGAGAACCGGUCCUUCGGGACCGGGGACAGCGGCGAACGGGUGAGUAACACGUGGGUAAUCAACCCUGACACUGGGAUAGCCCGGGGAAACCCGGAUUAAUACCGGAUGCCCAACAGCCCCUCGGGGCGGUUGGAAAAGGUAGCUUCGGCCUCCGGUCAGGCACGAGCCCGCGGCGGAUUAGCUUGUUGGUGGGGUAACGGCUCACCAAUACGACGAUCCGUAGCUGGUCUGAGAGGACGAUCAGUCACACUGGGACUGAGAUACGGCCCAG
rnacentral:rRNA from 1 species